CCAGCGUGAGGCUUUCAGCGACAGAGGCCUUGAGACCAAAUGAGUUUGGGGGAUCGAACGAGCCCUCAAAGCCCUUCUCAAUACCGAACUCGUGGGUGGGGUUGUCGGAUGACUUGCUGACUGAAACUGACAGUACAUCUGUUUGUUGCAUAGGUGUGAUCUGCAGCAUGACACGAGAUGGGAAAUGCUUCUCUUCAGAACCAUAUCCGCGCUCCGCCAUGAGGGUCUCGGAGACCAAAGGGUCCACGUCGCACCUGAUAUCGAGGAAUGCUACAGCUAGCUGGACCACGCCUUCAAGUUGCUGAUAAGUGAGUGAGAAGAGAAGGCGCUCAUCCUGCGCCGCCGCUGCCGCAGGAUCCUCCAUGCCCAUGGCGAUCACUGGGCAGUACAGCUGGACCUUCCAGAGCCCGCUUGCCUGGAGGGCGUACGAGAAGAGCGGUGACGCUGCCCUGGGUGCGUGGUGCGAGGAGCGCAUCUCGACCAUCCAGUUGGUCACUGCGAGAUUCAUCGUCUGCAUCCACUGGUCCUCGAGGUUGGUGCCGAGCAUUUUGACGAGGGUCUUUGCAGCGCCUCUGCACUUUGGGCUGGUCAGCUGAGUCCUCAGUGAGUCCAGGCACCCACGGCGGAGGUCGCGGGGCGCCUCGUAGAUGCAGACCAGGAAAGCAAGGGACAAGAAGACUAUGUUGAACGCGUUGCUGAAGCUGCCGCCAUGGAGGUGCUGCGCCCCGGGGAACCGGAAGGACGGCUUGCUGCUGUUGUCCGGCCCGUACCGCAGCACCUGGUUCACGAUGUCCACGAACAGCUGCACCAUGUCUUGCUCGUCCAGGGAUUGCUGCGCCUUGGUUUUCAGGUGGACCGGUUUCGACGUCCACAGGAAGAUCGGCUCGCGGUAGUUUGUGGAGAUGGAGAAGGUGAGGUGGGAAGGCUGGGCGGGGGGUGAUUUGGUGGCUGAGAGGCUCAUUGAUGCCGGCUGUGAUGACGCCGACGGUGAAGACGUAGCGCAGAUGCAGAGGGACAUGGUGUUGGUGCGCCACUGGGAGAAUGGGGGCAGGCUGCUGAUCCAGCCCCAUGCAUCAGGCACGAAGUUGUGAGCCAUUGUGGCGUUGGAAGAAGCUUGAGCUCCUUGCUGGCCUUUUAUAAAGAGGGAAAGAAGGCGAUGACGCGGCGGAUAGAACUUCGGUUUAUCGCAUAUGAUUGAGCCCAAUGAGCGCACGGCAAAGUCUCGGGUAAAGUAGAUUCUUGGUUUGAGAUUUAUCUGGUCUAGAUGCUGAUUGGAAAAUUUAUCUGCUACUAAUUGAGACUCGAAGAAUCUCUCUUUAUGCUGCCGUGCAGUGCUGACCGUGAACUGCUGUUAUAUAUAGCACGCGUUUCAAACUAAAGUUGGUGACCCUGAUGACAAAUUGUACUGUUCGGGAGGAAACUUGUGCCGUGGCUGCUGUCAGCUGGGAAUCGGAACCCGAGGAAUCUCACAUUGUACUUUCGUGAAGCUUUGCAAUUUAUCAACUCCAGACGCACGCCAUUUAUCCUUCUCUUUGUGUUUUUUUCUUUUUGUUAUUGAGAAUAAUAAUCUUCUCUUGGUCUGGCAGAGUAUGACGGCAAGUCAUGCUCAUUUGGUUAAGAGAAAUGCUACUCCCAACCGGACCUUUUUUUUAAUGAAAACCCCUAUCACACUUUUCCUUCC